rnacentral:rRNA from 1 species
CUACGGGUCGCUCCAGUGGGGAAUAUUGCACAAUGGGCGCAAGCCUGAUGCAGCCAUGCCGCGUGUAUGAAGAAGGCCUUCGGGUUGUAAAGUACUUUCAGCGGGGAGGAAGGAAGUAAAGUUAAUACCUUUGCUCAUUGACGUUACCCGCAGAGGAAGCACCGGCUAACUCCGUGCCAGCAGCCGCGGUAAUACGGAGGGUGCAGGCGUUAAUCGGAAUGACUGGGCGUAAAGCGCACGCAGGCGGUUUGUUAAGUCCGAUGUGAAAUCCCCGGGCUCAACCUGGGAACUGCAUCUGAUACUGGCAAGCUUGAGGCUCGUAGAGGGGGGUAGAAUUCCAGGUGUAGCGGUGAAAUGCGUAGAGAUCUGGAGGAAUACCGGUGGCGAAGGCGGCCCCCUGGACGAAGACUGACGCUCAGGUGCGAAAGCGUGGGGAGCAAACAGGAUUAGAUACCCUAGUAGUC